rnacentral:rRNA from 1 species
GACGAACGCUGGCGGCGUGCUUAACACAUGCAAGUCGAACGGAAAGGCCCUGCUUUUGUGGGGUGCUCGAGUGGCGAACGGGUGAGUAACACGUGAGUAACCUGCCCUUGACUUUGGGAUAACUUCAGGAAACUGGGGCUAAUACCGGAUAGGAGCUCCUGCUGCAUGGUGGGGGUGGAAAGGUUUGGCGGUUGGGGGUGGACUCGCGGCUUAUCAGCUUGUUGGUGGGGUAGUGGCUUACCAAGGCUUUGACGGGUAGCCGGCCUGAGAGGGUGACCGGCCACAUUGGGACUGAGAUACGGCCCAGACUCCUACGGGAGGCAGCAGUGGGGAAUAUUGCACAAUGGGCGGAAGCCUGAUGCAGCAACGCCGCGUGCGGGAUGACGGCCUUCGGGUUGUAAACCGCUUUCGCCUGUGACGAAGCGUGAGUGACGGUAAUGGGUAAAGAAGCACCGGCUAACUACGUG